AGCGGACAGAAGGGAGCUUGCUCCCGGAUGUUAGCGGCGGACGGGUGAGUAACACGUGGGUAACCUGCCUGUAAGACUGGGAUAACUCCGGGAGACCGGAGCUAAUACCGGAUAGUUCCUUGAACCGCAUGGUUCAAGGAUGAAAGACGGUUUCGGCUGUCACUUACAGAUGGACCCGCGGCGCAUUAGCUAGUUGGUGGGGUAAUGGCUCACCAAGGCGACGAUGCGUAGCCGACCUGAGAGGGUGAUCGGCCACACUGGGACUGAGACACGGCCCAGACUCCUACGGGAGGCAGCAGUAGGGAAUCUUCCGCAAUGGACGAAAGUCUGACGGAGCAACGCCGCGUGAGUGAUGAAGGUUUUCGGAUCGUAAAGCUCUGUUGUUAGGGAAGAACAAGUGCGAGAGUAACUGCUCGCACCUUGACGGUACCUAACCAGAAAGCCACGGCUAACUACGUGCCAGCAGCCGCGGUAAUACGUAGGUGGCAAGCGUUGUCCGGAAUUAUUGGGCGUAAAGGGCUCGCAGGCGGUUUCUUAAGUCUGAUGUGAAAGCCCCCGGCUCAACCGGGGAGGGUCAUUGGAAACUGGGAAACUUGAGUGCAGAAGAGGAGAGUGGAAUUCCACGUGUAGCGGUGAAAUGCGUAGAGAUGUGGAGGAACACCAGUGGCGAAGGCGACUCUCUGGUCUGUAACUGACGCUGAGGAGCGAAAGCGUGGGGGGCGAACAGGAUUAGAUACCCUGGUAGUCCACGCCGUAAACGAUGAGUGCUAAGUGUUAGGGGGUUUCCGCCCCUUAGUGCUGCAGCAAACGCAUUAAGCACUCCGCCUGGGGAGUACGGUCGCAAGACUGAAACUCAAAGGAAUUGACGGGGGCCCGCACAAGGGGUGGAGCAUGUGGUUUAAUUCGAAGCA
rnacentral:rRNA from 1 species